UAGGGAAUCUUCCGCAAUGGACGAAAGUCUGACGGAGCAAUGCCGCGUGAGUGAAGAAGGUUUUCGGAUCGUAAAACUCUGUUGUUAGAGAAGAACAAGGAUGAGAGUAACUGCUCAUCCCCUGACGGUAUCUAACCAGAAAGCCACGGCUAACUACGUGCCAGCAGCCGCGGUAAUACGUAGGUGGCAAGCGUUGUCCGGAUUUAUUGGGCGUAAAGCGAGCGCAGGCGGUUCUUUAAGUCUGAUGUGAAAGCCCCCGGCUCAACCGGGGAGGGUCAUUGGAAACUGGAGAACUUGAGUGCAGAAGAGGAGAGUGGAAUUCCACGUGUAGCGGUGAAAUGCGUAGAUAUGUGGAGGAACACCAGUGGCGAAGGCGGCUCUCUGGUCUGCAACUGACGCUGAGGCUCGAAAGCAUGGGUAGCGAACAGGAUUAGAUACCCUGGUAGUCCAUGCCGU
rnacentral:rRNA from 1 species